GGGCCUAUAGCUCAGUCGGUUAGAGCACCUGACUCAUAAUCAGGGAGUCACUGGUUCAAGCCCAGUUGGGCCCA
rnacentral:tRNA from 4 species